rnacentral:lncRNA from 1 species
AUCCAAACAUCUUCUCUGAAUGGAAAUCUGUCAUCAUGAGUUAACCAUAAAUGCAUGUUAGGUUAUGCUGCUGUCUUCCCCACAACCUGCUCAGCUGUCUGGUAUAAUGCCCAGUGCUGAAGACAGGUUCCAUACAACGCUACUACUUGAGAGCAGGUAUAACAUGGACCAACAAUGGGACACAAUGGUCAUUAACUUCCUACUUUUCCUACAAACCUCAUCUAAAGGACGCAGUGAGGGAAAGAUAAUUCACAGCUGGGAUACCUUUGAUUUCCUCAGCUGCCACUUCAUAUCAGAAAAUCUUAAGAAUCAGGAAAGGCUUGCUCUCUUCUUAGUCUGCUUGACAUCUAAAGGAUGUGAUAUUGGACAGUUACAAAUGAACCUUUGGCUUGAGGGGAGACAUCAGGCUGACUGAGUGUUGCUGUAUAGACAUAAAUUGCAAAGACAAGAAAGAUCAGAAGUCCAGAAAGAAAGCCAAGAAAGAGUCCUAAAUAUUUAGCUCCUGUGAAAGGCAAGUUUGUUUUUGUGUCAUGGACUACUUCAUAAAUAUAUGUUAAAUUUCCUUGAUAAAUUUUGCUUUUAUAUGAAGCAUGAUGACUUCUUCAGUCUUAGCUUUAGCUGCAAUCCUAACUCGGGCUAACAGGUAGGUUCUGUAAAGGUGUGGAGACAGCUACAAAUGAAGAACAUCACCAUUCAUUGCUAGGCAGUGUGGCACCCCAAAUUGCCAUCACCUUCAGGCACAUGCGCUGAAUUUGGUGCUUCACAGGGGUGGUUGGGAGCCUGUGGCAAGCUGGGAAAAUAAGAGACAGUGCACAGAAGGAAGGCUGCAAAUCUUUCAUGUUUUCAAAGUUUGAGCCCUUCCAACUUAAGACAUUCAUCUGAUUCUUGCUAUACUGAAUCACAUAUACACCAGAAAGAGAGAGAGAGAGAGGUAGUCUCAGGAGCAAUGGGGUUGUUGGGAGUAGGAAGAGAAGAGAGCAACUUGUGAGUUCCUUAUUUUCAUAGGCCAUUAAAGCUGAGCAAUGCUCUCUGAGCUGUCUGCCAACUACAUGCUGAAUUCUUGGGUUCCGGGCUCAGCGUUUGAAAUGCCAUCAUGGCCUGUUAUUAGCUAUUGAAAGCUUUCUCUUAAUGGCUGCAACAGAACCUUGCUCAUUAGCAGAGACUCUUGCUGUGCUUUCUCAGGGCAGAUGCAGCUAUAUUUAUAAAGAGUCCAGUUAGGUACUCCUCAAGCUGGUCUCACCAAAACUGUGUUAAAUGGUAAAAUGAGCCCUUGGCAACAAGAGUUGCUAGUGUCUGUCAGAAGUGAGGUUUGUUUAAAUUAUUUGGAAAAAGGGGGGUAGAUGCUGCUUAAAUAAAUACUCUCCUCCCAUGAAACA